rnacentral:rRNA from 1 species
CAAUAGCGUAUAUUUAAGUUGUUGCAGUUAAAAAGCUCGUAGUUGGAUUUUGGGUCGGGGGCACCGGUCCGCCGUUCCGGUGUGCACUGGUGGCCCCUUCCUUUCUGCCGGGGACGUGCGUCGCACUUAAUUGGGUGGCGUUCGGAGUCGGCGUUGUUACUUUGAAAAAAUUAGAGUGUUCAAAGCAAGCCAUCGCUCUGAAUACAUUAGCAUGGAAUAACAUGUUAGGACUCCGGUCUUAUUUUGUUGGUUUCCGAGACUGGAGUAAUGAUUAAGAGGGACAGUCGGGGGCAUCCGUAUUUCAUUGUCAGAGGUGAAAUUCUUGGAUUUAUGAAAGACGAACUUCUGCGAAAGCAUUUGCCAAGGAUGUUUUCAUUAA